rnacentral:rRNA from 1 species
CAGUAGCCGCGGUAAUACGAAGGGGGCUAGCGUUGUUCGGAAUUACUGGGCGUAAAGCGCACGUAGGCGGAUAUUCAAGUCAGGGGUGAAAUCCCAGAGUUCAACUCUGGAACUGUCUUUGAUACUGGGUAUCUUGAGUAUGGAAGAGGUGAGUGGAAUUCCGAGUGUAGAGGUGAAAUUCGUAGAUAUUCGGAGGAACACCAGUGGCGAAGGCGGCUCACUGGUCCAUUACUGACGCUGAGGUGCGAAAGCGUGGGGAGCAAACAGGAUUAGAUACCCGCGUAGUCCCUGUCUCUUAUAC